rnacentral:rRNA from 1 species
AUUGAACGCUGGCGGCAGGCUUAACACAUGCAAGUCGAACGAGUGGCGGACGGGUGAGUAAUGCUUGGGAAUCUAGCUUAUGGAGGGGGAUAACUACGGGAAACUGUAGCUAAUACCGCGUACCAUAGGAUGAGCCCAAGUGGGAUUAGGUAGUUGGUGAGGUAAAGGCUCACCAAGCCGACGAUCUCUAGCUGGUCUGAGAGGAUGACCAGCCAUAAUGGGAAGGAGACACGGCCCAGACUCCUACGGGAGGCAGCAGUGGGGAUGAUUGCACAAUGGGGGCAACCUGAUGCAGCCAUGCCGAGUGAAUGAAGAAGGCCUUCGGGUUGUAAAGUUCGUUCGGUAGCGAGGCGUUAACUACAGAAGAAUCACCGGCUAACUCCGUGCCAGCAGCCGCGGUAAUAC